rnacentral:rRNA from 1 species
GACGGGGCCCGCACAAGCGGAGGAGCAUGUGGUUUAAUUCGAUGAUACGCGAGGAACCUUACCUGGGCUCGAACGUAAGAUGACUGUAGGUGAAAGCUUACAUCUCUUCGGAGCAUUUUACGAGGUGCUGCAUGGUUGUCGUCAGCUCGUGCCGUGAGGUGUCGGGUUAAGUCCCAUAACGAGCGCAACCCCUACCUUUAGUUGCCAUCAGGUUAAGCUGGGGACUCUAAAGGAACUGCCUACGCAAGUAGUGAGGAAGCGGGGAUGACGUCAAAUCAGCACGGCCCUUACGUCCAGGGCUACACACGUGCUACAAUGGCCGAUACAGAGGGCAGCUACCUGGUGACAGGAUGCAAAUCUCCAAAGUCGGUCUCAGUUCGGAUCGGAGUCUGCAACCCGACUCCGUGAAGUUGGAUUCGCUAGUAAUCGCGCAUCAGCCAUGGCGCGGUGAAUACGUUCCCGGGCCUU